rnacentral:snoRNA from 1 species
ACGACCUUACUUGAACAGGAUCUGUUCUAUAGGUUGUACAUCCGUUGCCAUUGACACAAUGGAGACACACACAACAAUCUGGAAGAUCACACAAUGCCACGUGGCUACAGUGUGAAUACUGGCUUGGGGACCAAACAGGGCUCCAUCAGCCCUAGAGGAUCGCUGUCAUAGAGCCAACGGCUGUUGAGAUGGCCACAUGGCAGUCUGACAGAUA